rfam:Heterocephalus glaber contig60295, whole genome shotgun sequence.
AUCUAUGGCCAUACCACCCUGAAUGUGCUGGGUCUUCUCUGAUCUUGAAACCUAAGCAGGGUAGGGUCUGGUUAGUACUUGGAUGGGAGAGCUGGCUGGUUACAACAGCUGAGGACUUUUAUA